rnacentral:rRNA from 1 species
GAUGAACGCUAGCGGCAGGCUUAAUACAUGCAAGUCAAGGGGGUAGCAAUACAACCGGCGCACGGGUGAGUAACGCGUACACAACAUACCAUAUACUGGAGUAUAGCUUUGGGAAACUGAAGGUAAUCCUCCAUAACAUUGCGAGAGGGCAUCUGAUUGCAAUUAAAGUUUCGGCGGUAUAUGAUUGGUGUGCGUUUGAUUAGCUAGUUGGUAGGGUAACGGCCUACCAAGGCGACGAUCAAUAGCUGGCGUGAGAGCGCGACCAGCCACACUGGAACUGAGACACGGUCCAGACUCCUACGGGAGGCAGCAGUAGGGAAUAUUGGACAAUGGAGGAAACUCUGAUCCAGCCAUGCCGCGUGAUAGAUGAAGGCCCUCUGGGUUGUAAAUAUCUUUUAUCUGGGAAGAAACACUCCUAUUCUUAGGAACUUGACGGUACCAGAGGAAUAAGCACCGGCUAACUCCGUGCCAGCAGCCGCGGUAAU